UGCAGUCGAGCGGAUGAAGGGAGCUUGCUCCUGGAUUCAGCGGCGGACGGGUGAGUAAUGCCUAGGAAUCUGCCUGGUAGUGGGGGAUAACGUCCGGAAACGGGCGCUAAUACCGCAUACGUCCUGAGGGAGAAAGUGGGGGAUCUUCGGACCUCACGCUAUCAGAUGAGCCUAUGUCGGAUUACCUAGUUGGUGGGGUAAAGGCCUACCAAGGCGACGAUCCGUAACUGGUCUGAGAGGAUGAUCAGUCACACUGGAACUGACACACGGUCCAUACUCCUACGGGAGGAAUCAGUGGGGAAUAUUGGACAAUGGGCGAAAGCCUGAUCCAGCCAUGCCGCGUGUGUGAAGAAGGUCUUCGGAUUGUAAAGCACUUUAAGUUGGGAGGAAGGGCAGUAAGUUAAUACCUUGCUGUUUUGACGUUACCAACAGAAUAAGCACCGGCUAACUUCGUGCCAGCAGCCGCGGUAAUACGAAGGGUGCAAGCGUUAAUCGGAAUUACUGGGCGUAAAGCGCGCGUAGGUGGUUCAGCAAGUUGGAUGUGAAAUCCCCGGGCUCAACCUGGGAACUGCAUCCAAAACUACUGAGCUAGAGUACGGUAGAGGGUGGUGGAAUUUCCUGUGUAGCGGUGAAAUGCGUAGAUAUAGGAAGGAACACCAGUGGCGAAAGCGACCACCUGGACUGAUACUGACACUGAUGUGCGAAAGCGUGA
rnacentral:rRNA from 1 species